rnacentral:tRNA from 1 species
GUGAGCAUAGUUUAAAAAAAAUUUUAGAUUGUGAUUCUGAAGAUAGAAGUUAAAAUCUACUUGCUCACC